rnacentral:pre_miRNA from 1 species
UGGAAUCUGGUAUGGGUUGAAGUAGCACCUCUCCUUGGUUUUUCUGCUGCUUCUAAUAAAAAGAUCCGUUGUAAUGGCCAACUGAGGUGUUAUUUCAACCCCUACCAGACUCCA